rnacentral:rRNA from 1 species
UUCAGUGAUCCUAUGCUGCCGAGAAAAGCCUCUAGCGAGUUCUUAGCGGCCCGUACCCCAAACCGACACAGGUGGUCAGGUAGAGAAUACCAAGGCGACGGGCGAACUGUGGUUAAGGAACUCGGCAAAUUACCCCCGUAACUUCGGGAGAAGGGGGGCCGGACACGUGAAGCAACACGCUUGUGGAGCGUGGUAUGGCCGCAGAGACCAGGGGGAAGCGACUGUUUACUAAAAACACAGGUCCAUGCGAAGAAGUAAUUCGAUGUAUAUGGACUGACGCCUGCCCGGUGCUGGAACGUUAAGGGGACCUGUUAGCUCUUCGGGGCGAAGCGGAGAACUUAAGCGCCAGUAAACGGCGGUGGUAACUAUAACCAUCCUAAGGUAGCAAAUUCCUUGUCGGGUAAGUUCCGACCUGCACGAAUGGCGUAACGACUUCCCUACUGUCUCAACCACAGGCCCGGCGAAAUUGCAUUACGGGUAAAGAUGCUCGUUACGCGCGGCAGGACGGAAAGACCCCGGGACCUUUACUAUAGCUUGACAUCGGUAUCUGAGUUAAUUUGUGUAGGAUAGGUGGGAGCCGGUGAAGCUCGUACGCCAGUACGGGUGGAGGCAAUCUUGAAAUACCACUCUGGUUGAUUCGGGUAUCUAACUUCGGACCGUGAUCCGGUUCGGGGACAGUGUCUGGUGGGUAGUUUAACUGGGGCGGUUGCCUCCUAAAGAGUAACGGAGGCGCCCAAAGGUUCCCUCAGCCUGGUUGGCAAUCAGGUGUUGAGUGUAAGUGCACAAGGGAGCUUGACUGUGAGACUGACAGGUCGAGCAGGGACGAAAGUCGGGACUAGUGAUCCGGCACCGGCAUGUGGAAGCGGUGUCGCUCAACGGAUAAAAGGUACCCCGGGGAUAACAGGCUGAUCUUCCCCAAGAGUCCAUAUCGACGGGAUGGUUUGGCACCUCGAUGUCGGCUCGUCGCAUCCUGGGGCUGUAGCAGGUCCCAAGGGUUGGGCUGUUCGCCCAUUAAAGCGGUACGCGAGCUGGGUUUAGAACGUCGUGAGACAGUUCGGUCCCUAUCCGCCGUGCGCGUAGGAUACUUGAGAAGGGCUGUCCCUACUACGAGAGGACCGGGACGGACGAACCUCUGGUGUGCCAGUUGUCCCGCCAGGGGCACGGCUGGUUAGCUACGUUCGGAAGGGAUAACCGCUGAAAGCAUCUAAGCGGGAAGCUCGCUUCAAGAUGAGGUAUCCCACCCACACUUGUGCGGGGUAAGGCCCCCAGCUAGACCACUGGGUUGAUAGGCCGGAAAUGUAAGCCCGGUAACGGGUUCAGUUGACCGGUACUAAUAGGCCGAGGACUUGACCUA